UACGUAGGGUGCAAGCGUUGUCCGGAUUUAUUGGGCGUAAAGAGCUCGUAGGCGGUUUAGAAAGUCAGGGUGUGAAACCUCCAGCUCAACCUGAGACGCCACUUGAUACUUCUAUGACUUGAGUUUGGUAGGGGAACACGGAAUUCCUGGUGUAGCGGUGAAAUGCGCAGAUAUCAGGAGGAACACCGAUGGCGAAGGCAGUGUUCUGGGCCAAAACUGACGCUGAGGAGCGAAAGCGUGGGAGCGAACAGG
rnacentral:rRNA from 1 species